UACGAGGUGGACAAACGUUAUUCGGAUUUACUGGGCUUAAAGCGUGCGUAGGCGGCUCAGAAAGUUGGGUGUGAAAGCCCUCGGCUCAACCGAGGAAUUGCGCUCAAAACUACUGAGCUUGAGGGAGAUAGGGGAGAGCGGAACCGAUGGUGGAGCGGUGAAAUGCGUUGAUAUCAUCAGGAACACCGGUGGCGAAGGCGGCUCUCUGGAUCUCUUCUGACGCUGAGGCACGAAAGCUAGGGGAGCAAACGGG
rnacentral:rRNA from 1 species